rnacentral:rRNA from 1 species
UCCUGGAUUCAGCGGCGGACGGGUGAGUAAUGCCUAGGAAUCUGCCUGGUAGUGGGGGAUAACGUCCGGAAACGGGCGCUAAUACCGCAUACGUCCUGAGGGAGAAAGUGGGGGAUCUUCGGACCUCACGCUAUCAGAUGAGCCUAGGUCGGAUUAGCUAGUUGGUGGGGUAAAGGCCUACCAAGGCGACGAUCCGUAACUGGUCUGAGAGGAUGAUCAGUCACACUGGAACUGAGACACGGUCCAGACUCCUACGGGAGGCAGCAGUGGGGAAUAUUGGACAAUGGGCGAAAGCCUGAUCCAGCCAUGCCGCGUGUGUGAAGAAGGUCCUUCGGAUUGUAAAGCACUUUAAGUUGGGAGGAAGGGCAGUAAGUUAAUACCUUGCUGUCUUUGACGUUACCAACAGAAUAAGCACCGGCUAACUUCGUGCCAGCAGCCGCGGUAAUACGAAGGGUGCAAGCGUUAAUCGGAAUUACUGGGCGUAAAGCGCGCGUAGGUGGUUCAGCAAGUUGGAUGUGAAAUCCCCGGGCUCAACCUGGGAACUGCAUCCUGAAACUACUCGAGCUAGAGUACGGUAGAGGGUGGUGGAAUUUCCAUGUGUAGCGGUGAAAUGCGUAGAUAUAGGAAGGAACACCAGUGGCGAAGGCGACCACCUGGACUGAUACUGACAGCUGAGGUGCGAAAGCGUGGGGAGCAAACAGGAUUAGAUACCUGGGUAGUCCACGCCGUAAACGAUGUCGACUAGCCGUUGGGAUCCUUGAGAUCUUAGUGG